AGUUCAUUGACCAUUCCACGUCACUGCAUCGUGAGGGAUUUGUGGAUGACCAAUUUACAACUCUAAAAGCUGCAAGAUGAAAACAACCCAGAUUUUGAGGUCGAGCUUGUCUCUCUUUUCUUUGAAGAUUCUGAGAAGCUUCUUAACAAUAUGGCCAGAGCACUGUGAGUUCAUCUUCUUCCUUCCUGUGCUAAGUGUUUUCUUUUUUGUGAUCUAAUUUUCAUGUUUUUUCCUUCUGUGAGCAAACACAAGGUGUUGAUUUCAAGCAAGUAGAUGCUAGUGUUCUUGUAGAUGCUAGUGUUCAUCAGCUUAAGGGUAGCAGUUCUAGCAUAGGUGCAAUGAGAGUUAAAGAAUGCAUGCAUCGCCUUCCGAAGCUUUCGCGAGGCGCAAAACCAUAAAGGG